GUGCCAGCAGCCGCGGUAAUACGAAGGGAGCUAGCGUUGUUCGGAAUUACUGGGCGUAAAGGGCGCGUAGGCGGCUUGGCAAGUUGGAUGUGAAAGCCCUGGGCUCAACCCGGGAACUGCAUUCAAAACUGCCUUGCUUGAAUUCGGUAGAGGUUGGUGGAAUUCCCAGUGUAGAGGUGAAAUUCGUAGAGAUUGGGAGGAACACCCGUGGCGAAGGCGGCCAACUGGACCGACAUUGACGCUGAGGCGCGAAAGCGUGUGGAUCAAACAGGAUUAGAUACCCUAGUAGUCC
rnacentral:rRNA from 1 species